AGGGAUGUAGUUCAGUGGUAGAGCAUUCGCUUCGCAAGUGAAAGGGCCCCGGGUUCAAUCCCCGGCAUCUCCA